GGGAAACGGUUCUAAAAAUGGAGCGGAUACAAACAGUUGUUGAUAGAUUGUUUAUUGGCUAUUAAAAUUUUGAUAGAUUUAUCAAAUAGGUUAAUUCGUCUAUUUGAAAGUCUAUCAACUAUCAGUUGCAUUUAAAAGUUAAAUCAAACACCCUCUAAAUAGAGUUGAGGGAUGACAAAAGCAAGAUUGUAUAGAAGAAGUUCAUAUGCACAUUGUUGGUAUUGAUUAUCAGUUCUUGCGAGAUAAUGCUGCAGCAAUUCCACCAGCUACGAGUCCAACAGCAGUGGCAGUGAUUCCUAUUCCAAUAACACCAUCUUUAGCAAUUCGAUCUUCAAUUGUCUUCUUGAGGACCAGAGCUUGCCUCCAAUCAGGUGCAACCUCCAAACAUUGCUCCACAAGCUGUCGGCUCCUUGAAUAUUCACCACUUCUGUAAUAUCCAACUGCUAGAAGAUAGAUCUUCUCCCGCUGUUGCAAAGGAGAGCUAAUAUUGGCUAAUGAUGCUUCAAGCAUAGCAAUUCCUCGCUGUACAUCUUCUGAUCGUUUAGAGUGAACGAGAGCCCAUGACAAACGCAUAAUGCUCUCAUUCUUAAGUUCAUCUGAGUCACCCUCAGCAGCUUUUGCAACUUCUUUCUCGCAGCCGAGGAUAAUGUCGUGGUCGCUCAAGGGGAUCUGAUCACCGCCGGAGAAGAAGGAGCCAACGGAAUCGAAGAAGCCUCGGAUCUUUGCAUCCAUCGCUUUUGGUAUAUUGGAAGACUUGAAAGAAAAGCUUAUAUAUAUAUAUAGGUUUUGGUUGUGUUGAGUAUGCUUAGGCUAAGCUAAUGCCAAAGAAGGGCAAAGUUGAGGAAGGGAAGAGCCUCUGUCAAAACAGAUUGAGGAUUAAGC
rnacentral:misc_RNA from 1 species